rnacentral:lncRNA from 1 species
AAGACACCACCGACGGUACGAGGAAGAGCCGAAGACCGACGAUGCCGUCGUUCAGUAGUUUGCGCCAGAGAUUACCGCCUCCAUUGCAUUCCACCGGGACCGUAUACACCCAUUUAACCACAACCCGAAGAGAAUGUGGAUCGGUAGACGGACAACUCCUCCGGAGAAGACCAAACCAAAGCCACGCUCGUAGCCUGCUCACCAACUAUCACACCACAAAACACAGCCUAACCGGAAAUCGCUGUCAAGCCACGAAGACUAACCUGCUGAGUUUAUUUGAGAAGAGCUGGAGACGGAGCAGGCCACCAACGUCGUUACCACACAGAUCUGAGCGGGCAAGGAAACUCACAUGAGCCAAAGCUAACCUAAGCACACCAUGGGAACCCAACUCUACGCGAUGCCACAGGGAAGUCGAAAAACAGACGGACGUCUCCGUGCCACCAACAGAACCCACGCGCACCCACCGACGGAGAACUCGACGGAGGCAUCUCAAACAGGUAGAGAGAACCCGAGUUACCAAGAUCUGGCGCCACAAACCCACUCGGGUUACCAAGAUCCGGCGAACCCAAGAACCCCAACUCCACACGCAGCUUCAUCCACCACCAGAUGCCACACCGGAAGUGAAACGAGACCAACGAGGAGCUUAACGACGCUGCACGCGCCACCAACUCAGUGAAGCUUUCUGGAUCUCGGGAAAACACUAGCAAGCUCCGAUUAAGACUAGGGUAAAGCACGACAGUGGAAGAGGCCGUCCUCUAGCAACCUCCACAGCCGAAAACCCAAAAUCUGUGGCCGGAGCGACCAGAUCUGAGACACAGAUGAGCAUCACUCUCGCCGCAGAACAACGAAGGAGACAGAGGAGAGACAGAGAUGGACGUAGACGGGAGGGAGUUAAGGUCCGGCGGCCGCGCGGCAGAGGUGGCGGCCGCCGGAGAAGGCUUAAGGUGGAGGUGUUAACUUGGUGAAGAGAGAGGUUAGAGAUAACGUGUUUCAAGAGAGGUUAGAGAUAACGUGUUUCAAAUUAUAUACACUUUGUAAAUAUAUGUUUCAAUAAGAGACUAUGAAUCAGUGAGAUGUUAUGUGUGUUUUGCGUUGGAAGUAUAUAUAUAAAAGUCUAUUAUUAUACACAAAAGAAGAUAUGUAUGCUGUUUGUUAUACGUACAUAUUUACAUACCAUAUAACUUUCUAUCAUACUUUCCGUUUAUUGAAGGAGAAUUAUAACUUUCUAGUGAAAGUUUU